rnacentral:rRNA from 1 species
AUCGCCUCCUGCUACUAAAUCGUAUAGGAGGUCCCGCCUGCCCCGUGACUUACGUUCAACGGCCGCGGUAUUCUAACCGUGCAAAGGUAGCGCAAUCAAUUGUCUUUUAAAUGAAGACCUGUAUGAAUGGCAUAACGAGGGUUUAACUGUCUCUUUUACCCAGCCAAUGAAACUGAUCUGUCCGUGCAGAAGCGGACAUAAAAAUACAAGACGAGAAGACCCUGUGGAGCUUCAGACACCAACCAACCUUAAUAUCAACGAUUCUCAAAUCAAAGAGCCGAAACAACCUUGGUCCUGGCACAAAUGUCUUCGGUUGGGGCGACCACGGUGAGAAAACAAAGCUCCCGAGCGGAUUGUGAAUCCUUCUUAAAACUCAGAGUUACACCUCUAAGUCUCAAAACAUUUGACCGACAAUGAUCCGACCACCCGUCGAUCAACGAACAAAGUUACCCCAGGGAUAACAGCGCAAUCCUUUCACAGAGCCCAUAUCGACGAAAGGGUUUACGACCUCGAUGUUGGAUCAGGACAUCCCAAUGGUGCAGCCGCUAUUAAAGGUUCGUUUGUUCAACGAUUAAAGUCCUACGUGAUCUGAGUUCAGACCGGAGAAAUCCAGGUCGGUUUCUAUCUGUAACACCAUCCCUCCUAGUACGAAA